AGAGAAACGCGUGCGCCUCCCCACCAUACGUAUUAACUUUUGUCAAAAUCGGUUGUCAGAUACUCAGAUCUGGGGGGGCGCCUAUCUUCUCGCUGCCUGGAUCCGAAACCCUAGCCGCCUCUCUCUCUCUCUCCUGCAGAUCUCCUACCACUACCUCCUUCCAACCGCUCUCCUCAGAUCCAUGGCUUCACUCUUCCUUCCAACAGCCUGCCACCGUGGUCCGCUGGCGAGAUGGAUCUAGCCCGCCGGGUUGAGACGCAGGCCCGCUGGCCGGACGGCAGCAACGUGCGUCCCCUCACCCGGUCCAUAUCCACAACUACUCCAGAUGGGAAACAGCACGGUGGCGACCGGGCCGCUCCCGGAGACUCUCACGGCGGCCGGCGUGCGAGCGUGUGCGCCUGUUCCUCUGAUGGGUGGGUUGGAUCUCUAUUUUAUGUUAUUAUUACAGAUGAUUUGCAUAAGGAAAACGAACAGAGAGUUUUUUUUUUAAAUCUUCUGUAUAUCACCGGAGGACAAAGCAAAAAGAGAAUCGUUGUUCAGAAGAUUCACCGGAGUACGGUUUUUAGGGUGUUUGGAUCCGUGGGAAUUUUUCCUAAAAGGAUGUGAAACUCUUUUGGGAUUUUCCCCAAGAAUUCAUGCAGUCUAUUAUUUUUGAAGAUUUUUUUCUCAAACCUCUUCUUGCAAUUCCUUUACUUUUGGUGGUGUAUAAAACACUCUUUGAUGACGUCUUUUUUUUGCCACGCCCCUUAGUACCACUUAUAUAGGUCCUGAUACAGAGAUGUAACAAUCCAAAGUACAUUUUAUUAGCCUAGCUCUGUCGCUAAGCCUUUUGAUCCUAGCACUUACCAUUCUUUAGUGUUUGUUAGUCCACUCUUCGCCAGUGCUAAGGUGAUAUGAGGGUAUGUACUAAGAUUAAAAAACUUAGUGCCGCUACUCAGCUUAGUGUUCAAUGCUAUGCUAGAUUAAUCUUAAUUAGUUUAUGGUCAUCCGUUUUAGUUAAAUUCAUAAAUUGAUAGUUUUAAAGUCUAGCUCCUAUGAUUCAUGCCAAGGUAAAUUGAAAGAGAAUAUUAAUGUAUUCAUCUUAGCUUCUAUUGUGUCGGUGGUAGAGAUGUGGAAGCUCCACUCGCUAAAGAGACGCUCGGUGAUGGAGUAAUCUAGCUAGCAUUUGUGUUAGUGAAUGGAGGAUAGAUGCUUGCAUGCUAGUAAGAGUUCAGGGCCUCUCUCGCUCAAAUCAUUGUAGUAUGAAACGUUUCUUUCUUUGUUGCAUCUUUUUGGUUCAGGAAUGAAGAAAAAGAAAAAAACCCAAAGAAGUUUCCUUUUGCCUAUGUCCCAAAGGGAAAUUAAAUAGAAAUUCAACAUCUAGUACUCCAUUUGACUUUUAAAGCGUAACAACAUUUGAGUCAUACUUUUGGUUGUGAUUCUUGUUGCUUCGAUUCGAUUUGACUUUUUUUUGAAGUGUAACAACAUUUGAGUCAUACUUUUGGUUGUGAUUCUUGUUGCUUUGAUUCGAUUUGACUUUUUUUUGAAGUGUAACAACAUUUGAGUCAUACUUUUGGUUGUGAUUCUUUUUUCUUUGAUUUGAUUCGACUUUUUUUAGCUUAUGAACAUUCAAGUAAGAUUGUGUUUCUUUGAUUUGACUUUUUUGUUAUUAAUUUUGUGUGUGCUCCUAUUAGGAUUUUAAUGAUUUUUUUAAUCAAGUGAACCAAACACAUAAUAGGUUGACAAACUUGAUGUAUCUAAUAAUGGUUUUGCAGUCGUGGUUCUAUCAGAUUGGUGCAUUUUCAAACCAUCCAUUUGUUUGUGAGGUUUAUUUGUUUUUAAAGUAUGUGCUCAUCUUUUGGGGAUGUGCGCACAUAGAGUGAGUGGUUCACAUGUGUACUAGUAGGGUCGGCCUGUCUCCAUUUUCAUUUUGGUAGCAGUCGUGUUGCAGCCAAAGCUGUCCACUCGAAAUGAAUGAAUGGAGGCUGUCCACUCGUUCUCUCUCUCUCUCUGGAAAGAUCCAUCCAAUCCACGGACAUAUUUUGUACUCCCUCCGUCCGAAAAUAAACGUCUCAAGCUUAGUGUAACUUUGUACUAAAGUUAAUACAAAGAUGAGACACUUAUUUUGGGAUGGAGAGAGUACUACUUACUAGGCUAGCAAUAGUUUUUUCUUCUGCUGUUUCCUUGCUGUACGAGUAUUCAUUCAUGCUUGUUCUUGAGGUAAGGAAAGACCUUGGAUUCCUUGGCCUGUUCUCAGAUGAUGAUGUUGCUCUCUAUACAAUUGUUUGUUGAGGCACGUAGGCCACCCCCACCGCUCUGGAUUUGCUCGUGACAGACAGGCCGUCUGCUGCUGCAUUUGAUUUCUUGCUUGUGAAGGUUUCUAGAUCCUGAUGCAUAGUCAACUUGAUCGUGACCCAUGAACUCUCGGUAAUUGAUCAUCUCUUCUUUAUUUUAAACCAUAUACUUUUUUCCAUGUUGUUUUGGUCUGACUAGACAGUUUACUGAUUUCUUUUUUGUUUCUGUUAAAAUUUGCCAAGCGCCUGAGGUUACAGAAUGCAUCUUAUGGUAAAGAAGAGAUGCUUGAGGAGGGAGUAAUUAGUUAGCAUUUGUUUUAGUUAGUUAAUGGAAGUGCAGAUGCUUGCAUGCUAGUGAGAGAGUGUAGGGCCUUUGAUUUGGUUUUUAGUGCUCCCUCCGAUCCAUAUUAGUUGUUGUUUAAAUGGAUGUAUAUAUAUAUAGCAUUGAAAUACAUCUGUUUGAGCGACAAGUAAUAUGGAUCGGAGGGAGUAGUAUUUUUGUGUUUCUGCCAAGUAAUAAGAUCUUGAUUUUUAUAUUCUAGUGAACCAAAAAAAAUAUAAUAAUUUACCAAAAUUUAUGUGUCUUUUCAUGCUGCAGGCUAUCAUACUCGUGCUUUUUUUCAAUUUCCUUGUUGUGCAUGUAUGCAUGUUUAUCGGCAUGUUGUUGGAUUCCUUGGCUCAUAGGAAAACCAUUGGAGUAUGAAACGUUUCUUUGGGUUAUGUAAUUUCGUGUACUACGCACAAGCAACAGUUUUCCUUUUUUUUAGCAUAUGUUCAUGAGGAUCUUGGAUUUUUCUUCUUCAGGCGUGUCGACGACCCAUGACCUCGGCAAAAUGGAUUUGCUCGUGACAAGAAGCCGUAUGCUGCUGCUGCAUUUGAUGUCUUGUGAAGGUGUCAAUCCUGAUCCAUACGGAGCUUUGAUUAGACACAUGCACUCCUGGCAUAUGUAGGUGACCUGCAACUCCGCGACAUGGAUUUGCUAGUGCCACAACAUAUGGUGUCUUGUGUUUUACGACCCAUGGUCUCUAGACGCGUUCUUCUGCAUGUUACAGCUGCUUCCUGCAAGCACCAGAAAGAAAGACAAAGUUUUAUGACUAACUAGGCGCAUCUCUCAAGAUGUCAGUCACAAUUUAUCUUAUCCUACCGGAAGGACAUGACUUCUUUUCCAAAAACUGAGCUGCUGGAGUUUUGAAGUGUAAACUGAGAUGUACAUUUCGACUGAUGUUCCUUGUAAAAUGGGGGCUGCUGCAAAACAGUAGUAUGAAUGCUGGCACAUGCAUAUGUUAAUCACAUCAAUUGUUUGUUUGA